CCGGGCGCACGGGUGAGUAACGCGUAUGCAACCUGCCCGUUUCAGCGGGAUAACCCGGAGAAAUCCGGCCUAAUACCGCAUGUGGCCGAGGGGAGGCAUCUUCUUUCGGCCAAAGGAGGCGACUCCGGAGACGGAUGGGCAUGCGUGACAUUAGCUAGUUGGCGGGGUAACGGCCCACCAAGGCGACGAUGUCUAGGGGUUCUGAGAGGAAGGUCCCCCACACUGGUACUGAGACACGGACCAGACUCCUACGGAAGGCAGCAG
rnacentral:rRNA from 1 species